rnacentral:rRNA from 1 species
UACGUAGGGUGCGAGCGUUGUCCGGAAUUACUGGGCGUAAAGAGCUCGUAGGCGGUUUGUCGCGUCUGCCGUGAAAGUCCGGGGCUCAACUCCGGAUCUGCGGUGGGUACGGGCAGACUAGAGUGAUGUAGGGGAGACUGGAAUUCCUGGGUGUAGCGGUGAAAAUGCGCAGAUAUCAAGGAGGAACACCGGUGGCGAAGGCGGGUCUCUGGGCCGAUACUGACGCUGAGGAGCGAAAGCGUGGGGAGCGAACAGG